GGGCCAGACUCCUACGGGAGGCAGCAGUGGGGGAUAUUGCACAAUGGGGGGAACCCUGAUGCAGCGACGCCGCGUGGGUGAAGGAGCGUUUCGGCGCGUAAAGCCCUAUCGGCAGGGAAGAAGGAGGACGGUACCUGACUAAGAAGCACCGGCUAACUCCGUGCCAGCAGCCGCGGUAAUACGGGGGGUGCGAGCGUUAAUCGGAAUUACUGGGCGUAAAGCGCUCGUAGGCGGUAUGUCAAGUCAAGGGUGAAAUCCCCGCGCUCAACGUGGGAACUGCCUUUGAAACUGGCAAACUGGAGUGUGUGAGAGGAUAGUGGAAGUCCAGGUGUAGGAGUGAAAUCCGUAGAUAUCUGGAGGAACAUCAGUGGCGAAGGCGACUAUCUGGCACAUAACUGACGCUGAGGAGCGAAAGCGUGGGGAGCAAACAGGAUUAGAGACCCCGGUAGAU
rnacentral:rRNA from 1 species